rnacentral:rRNA from 1 species
AUUGAACGCUGGCGGCAGGCUUAACACAUGCAAGUCGAGCGGGGGAAGGUAGCUUGCUACUGGACCUAGCGGCGGACGGGUGAGUAAUGCUUAGGAAUCUGCCUAUUAGUGGGGGACAACAUCUCGAAAGGGAUGCUAAUACCGCAUACGUCCUACGGGAGAAAGCAGGGGAUCUUCGGACCUCGCGCUAAUAGAUGAGCCUAAGUCGGAUUAGCUAGUUGGUGGGGUAAAGGCCUACCAAGGCGACGAUCUGUAGCGGGUCUGAGAGGAUGAUCCGCCACACUGGGACUGAGACACGGCCCAGACUCCUACGGGAGGCAGCAGUGGGGAAUAUUGGACAAUGGGGGGAACCCUGAUCCAGUCAUGCCGCGUGUGUGAAGAAGGCCUUAUGGUUGUAAAGCACUUUAAGCGAGGAGGAGGCUACUUUAGUUAAUACCUAGAGAUAGUGGACGUUACUCGCAGAAUAAGCACCGGCUAACUCUGUGCCAGCCGCCGCCGUAACAC